GUGGCCUGCAGCACCUGGUAAACAGAAAGGAUAGAUUUAAUUGAAAGACUCCUUUUAUUGCAAGGCAAUUGACAAAUGUUACCAGAAAAUAAACUCCCACCAUUCCCAAGGGAACGGAUUUCAAUCUGGUGGAACAGGCUAGACUACACGGAACUACACUGAUUCUGACGUGAGUCAGCAGAGGGAACAAAAGGACUGAGAUACUUAGAAACUCUAGUGAGUAGGCAAAGUCAAGUGCUUUACAUAUCUCAAAUUCU
rnacentral:lncRNA from 10 species